UACGUAGGGGGCAAGCGUUGUCCGGAUUUAUUGGGCGUAAAGCGCGUGUAGGCGGCCACGCAGGUCCGCUGUGAAAACUCGAGGCUCAACCUCGAGCUGUCGGUGGAAACCGCGUGGCUAGAGUCCGGAAGAGGGGACUGGAAUUCCCGGUGUAGCGGUGGAAUGCGCAGAUAUCGGGAGGAACACCCGUGGCGAAGGCGGGUCCCUGGGACGGUACUGACGCUGAGACGCGAAAGCGUGGGGAGCAAACAGG
rnacentral:rRNA from 1 species